rnacentral:rRNA from 1 species
GAUCCUGCUCAGGAUGAACGCUAGCUACAGGCUUAACACAUGCAAGUCGAGGGGAAACGACAUCGAAAGCUUGCUUUUGAUGGGCGUCGACCGGCGCACGGGUGAGUAACGCGUAUCCAACCUGCCUACCACUUGGGGAUAACCUUGCGAAAGUAAGACUAAUACCCAAUGACAUCCCACGAAGACAUCUGAAUGGGAUUAAAGAUUUAUCGGUGAUGGAUGGGGAUGCGUCUGAUUAG